rnacentral:rRNA from 1 species
UACGUAGGGGGCAAGCGUUAUCCGGAUUUACUGGGUGUAAAGGGGGCGCAGACGGCGAUGCAAGCCAGGAGUGAAAGCCCGGGGCCCAACCCCGGGACUGCUCUUGGAACUGCAUGGCUGGAGUGCGGGAGGGGCAGGCGGAAUGUAUGGUGUAGCGGUGAAAUGCUUAGAGAUCAUACAGAACACCGAUUGCGAAGGCAGCUUACCAAGCUACUUCUGACGUUGAGGCACGAAAGCGUGGGGAGCAAACAGG